rnacentral:lncRNA from 1 species
CACUCCACCCUGGGCAACAAAGCGAUACCUUGUCUCCAAAAAAAAAAAAAAAAGUUAAAAUAUGUACACUUACUGUGAGCACUACUACGAUUGAGGCCCUGGGGGUACCACAGAGUAUCAGAGUAGUCCUGCCUGCCUGCAGCUUCCUUCCCACAGGGAGAGGAUUGAGGAUAGAUUAUAAACAGAAGAUGAGAGGGACCAGAAGAGCAGGCUGUAACUUCAACCAGAGUGGCCAGGGAAGACCCUCACUGAAAAGGGGCAUCGAGCAGACAGAUAUAAAGAAGGCAAAGAAGCAGGCCACAGGACUGGCUGGGGAAAGCAUGCUCCAGCUCUCCCCGAAGGUCCUCUGAGGAGGAGAAACAAAGCAAGGCGUGCAUGAGCGACACGGGAGAUUAUAUGGCAAGGUCACCAGCUCUUUAUAUCCCAACUGACUCAUUCAUUCCCCAGAGACUCCUAAGGCCAAGAGUGAACGUGCAGGCACAGGGCCAAGCAUGGGGAGCGGGGGGCAGGGGGCCCAUACCCAAGCAUUCUAGCUCUACCCAAGUGGCUCUGAGCUGAGCUCCCCUGCACAGCUCUCUUCCUAACCCCAGUCCCCCAGCAGUACCCCUCUACCCCAUCUGUGCCCAUGAGAAGCGGCAUGCCCUGCGGGGGCCUGACUAGAUUUGCCACCACAGCCCCUACACCAAUCUGGCCAUGGCACAGCCAGCUCCUAUUUUCACACACAGCUUCUGGAAAGCACACCCAGGGACCCCUGAGCUACCAGGAACCCUCCACCACCACCGCACUAUGUGGCCCAGCUUGGCGCCCAGGCCCCUACCUUUGAACUUCUUCAGCAUCCCUUUUAAGACAAAGGUCUUGAGAGAAACAUUCCAGACUUUAUUCUUCAUCUCAGAAGAGACUGUGGUUGGCUUGGGGCCAGGCACAUUGCUACACCUGCAGGACAAGGGCUCUGAGAAGGGCCUGUGUGCACCAUUUUGCUCCCACAGGCUGUGACAAUUAGGAUGGCGAGGUCCUCUUGGCAGAAAGAGGUAGAAAAGGGAGAGCCAGACCUCAUGCAGAAAAACCCAUGGCCAGGCAGGUGGGCGUUUGUCUCGGAAGGUCCCCAGGCAAGCAAGUCGGGGGAUCAGGAGGUGAGAGGUCAGGGGACAGGGAAUAAAGACAAGGCUCAGUGAAAAGGGAAGAAGCAACUUAGAGAGGCCCCAGGAGCUGUGAGGUCACUCACCUGCUCAGCGUGCUUUUGAAUUCCUGGAAGGAAAGAUAGAGGAAACCAAAUCAGCAUCAGGUAACCUCCAUUCACCUCUGAGAAACAAAGCUUGCCCCUUGCUGUGCCUCCCAGAUGUAAGCAUAAGCAAGUGUGCCACGCCUCACUGCCUGCGUGGGCCUCAGGGGCAGCAGCUUCCAGUGGCUGCUGGCUGCAGGGUGUCUCACCCACGCAGUGGACCUCUCACCCUUUGCCACAACUCUUCACGUGCUUUCUUUCUAUCUUUGCUGCUUUCUUAGUUACAGAAUCAUCACUGGAGCUAUCCCAUGGGACCCAGUGCUGCGUGUGUCCUGGAAACCACCUGAGGGAGGUCACAGCCCUUAUGCACCUACUGCUCACUCAGCCCCAUAAUGACUGUUCUUAACCCAUCUAUGGAUUGUGAAGUUUAUCUAGUUGUUUAUAACUUUUUUUUUAGCGAAAUAGAAUAGAAAACAUCAAAGUGCAUACGUGUAGCAAAGGUGAGUAUUAUUUUCUGAGACUUUUGUCUCAAGCUUGUGAUUCUGAAAUACGAUAUAUAUUAUUGUGGCUCAUAGUCAAGAAAGUUUUCACAUCUCUCUAGACCUCCAACCCCAGGAAAAUCAGGGCACUUCUCUCCAGUCCCCUUCAGCUCCAGAUCAUGUGAUUCUCCUAGACCCCCCAGGACUGACACUGUUCUCUAGCUGCUGGUCCUGAUGCCUUAGGAUAAAUGACUCGAGCCCCUGGCUGAGCCAGACUUACCUGGAGAAAGUCAAGGUCAGGCUUUUGAGCUGUCUCCUGGAUCUGGCUGCUGAGCUUGGACAGCUGGGUGAUCUCAACCCCGAGCUGGGCCAGGUUCUCAUUCUGCUUCUGUGCCACCUCCCGGGACAGUUCCUCCAGGCGGCCUAGCAGCCGACCCUCCUGCUCCACCAGGAAAGCCCUCAGUGCCUGGAACUCUGCCCCCACCUUCUCCUGCUCCGCUGCCAUCUGUUUCUGUCCCAGGAGGAGAAGUUGGAGAGGGACUUGAACAUGGAGACAUAACAUUUGGCCAGUGGCCUGAGUCAUCCCACAGGGCAAGGCUUCGUCCCUGUCACUGCUGGAGGAUCGGAGACACACCCACCUACGCACGCAGUGCGUGCUCUAUUGUCAGUGUCCCAGCUCUGAACAAGCUGUAGUCUGGACACAUGCUCUUUUCUCCCCUGCCACAGAUGCACCCACACAUGUCUGUGGACCUGUGCUCCAUCACCUAAACCAAGGCAGCUUCAUACUCCCCCCAGAACUACGCCAAGCUGCAGCUUCCUCACUUGAAAAGCAGAAGGGAUAAAUUAGUGCCUCCUGGGGCAACCAUAGGAUUAAACUGAGAUUGCUUUUUCUUCCUCAAGCACAUUUAUUUCAUCACCCUCAAACUUUUACACUUCACUUUCUUUUUAAAGGCCAUCUUUCCUGUUUAGCAGUUAUAAUGCUAACACAUGCUCAAAAUACAAAACUUGGGAGAUGUAGGAAAGUAGAAAGAAGGAAGAAAAGUCCGAUGCCAGUGACCAGAGGUAGCAGCACACCCCCAAGGAACGAAGUGAGAAUAUGCGGCAUGCAAGUGUCAUAUUCUGUUCUUUCCAUUAACAGCAUACACCGGAUUUUUUACUCGAGUUUUCAGAUGCAGACUCAUGCCCUGAUCUCUUGAUUUUUUAUGUGAACACACGUUUGGCACUCAAUAUGUCCCACCAGGAAGUUCCUCUUCCUUAAAACUCCUGGGCGGAGGAAGGGAGUCCUGUGAAGUUGGGAGACCUGGGUUCAAGGUGUCCUACAAUGCCCCCACCUUUCCUUCAGCUUCCAGGCAGGCUGCAGUAGCCUGGAGCGCCUUAUGGAUAUUAACUCCCUCAACCCUGACGGCAGCCCAGUGGGGAGGGUGCACUUCCCUUCAAGUCUUACAGGUGGAGUCUCGCUCUGUCUCCCAGGCUGGAGUGCAGUGGCGCGAUCUCGGCUCACUGCAAGCUCUGCCUCCCGGGUUCACACCAUUCUCCUGCCUCAGCCUCCGGAGUAGCUGGGACUACAGGCGCCCGCCACCACGCCCGGCUAUUUUGUAUUUUUAGUAGAGACAGGGGUUUCACCGUGUUUGCCAGGACGGUCUUGAUCUCCUGACCUCGUGAUCCGCCCACCUCGGCCUCCCAAAGUGCUGGGAUUACAGGCGUGAGCCACCCUGCCAGGCCUCAUGUUUGCUUAUCUUAACCAAAAUGAGCCCUCGUUUCACUUUCCUGUUCUACCCUAAGGAAGAUAAAAUAUCAUUCCAACUUGGGGUAGAGGCAGGUGCCAGUACCCAAGACCCUGGGCUGUGCAGCAGGGGCUACUGUAAACCCAAGACCCUAAACUUCCUCCCUCUGCCAGAGCCAGGGAGCAGCUCUGACGCCCUCUAGCCCCUUCUCCGUUAGCCUCGAUUUCAAAUAAAAACACUGUGAACAUGAAA